rnacentral:lncRNA from 1 species
GCACUGGUUUUAGGCAACAGUUCACACAAGACGAGAGUAAUUGGGAGCUUGGUUUUCAGCGCCGGCGUUAGUUGUUGGGGACAGAACAAUGCCCAAGCAUAGAGAUCUGCAACCAUAUGUUUUAUUAGAAAACGGUAAAUAAAGUAACUCAGGUGUAUCGUUAUUAAUUUUUUUUACUAUUGAUUAUAUAUAAAAUAAAUAAAAAUAUUAUUUAUUAAAUAAAUAUAUCUUUAUAUAUAAUUAUUAUUUAAAAAAUUAUUGACUCAUAUGAGUAUAUAUUUUUCUUAAUCUAACUGAGUACCUUGCAUUUGAUGACUAUACCGCAACAACAAAUAUUUUUACCAAUAGGAAAAAAGAGUAGAAGUUGAACUGUGAACGCUAGAAUCAAGUUCACAUCAUUUACCAAUCGAGCUAGAGACCUAGACCUUCAACACUAUUUAUGUUAAAAGCAUUAUUUUUAUGAAAAAUAAAUUUAAUGAUUAUUAAAUUAAAUAUUUUUAUAUGUAAAUUUAUAUAUAAUUAUUUAAAUAUAUAUAAUAAAUACUUAAAUUUAUAUACAAAAUAUUUAUUUUAAUAGUUUUAAAACUCAUUAACCGAUUUGAGAAUGCAGGAGCCCAGUCGAUAUCAUUGAUUUUUCAACGACUGUGCCGGGUUCUUGGUUCUCUGCUUGAUGGGCUCCCGUGAUUUCCUACAUAGUAACUAUGGUCCCAACUAUUAUGUCCAGCAAGCUAAAACCAAACCAACCGUUUGGGCCUAAAUCUGCAGGAUAAUGUUCGUCUUUUUUUCCUAAAAGAAAAUAAGUAUUGAGCCUGACUCUAUCAUUUCCAAAAAAAAAUUUUAUUUUUCUGUUUAAGAUAAUUAAUUUAUUAAUAAUACCAAUACCAUUUUAUAUUUAAUAUAAACUAAAAAAAGAAAAUUUAUUAAUUUUAAGAAUAAAAAUGAGUUAUUUAAUUUUUAAUGUAGUAAUAUAAGUGAAAAAUAAAAUUAAAAUAAUGAAUUUUUUAUUCAUUAUUUUAAUUUUAUUUUUAAGUUAUAUAAAAAUUAACCCCUCUAAUUCAAACAUUGAUGAUCUUUUACUAUUGAAAAAAUAAUAAUUCUAUAUUUUUGCUUUGUCAUUCAUUCAUUUAUUUCCUUGAGAAUUAAACAUUACCAUUGAUAAAAAUAGCCCCAAUCAAUUUCUCCUACCGACAGUCCUGCCGACCUUGAUAUAAUGACACAGCUUGAUUGUAUAUAUAUAUAUUAAAAAUAUAUGCUGUAAUUUAUUUUGGCCUCUCUUUUUUCUAGUUCUAACUCAGUCAGGCAAUGCAAAUUAUUCUAUGAUAAUUAAAUAACUUAUUGCUCAUUGAAGAUAUUUCUUUAAAAAGAUGAAAAAAGGAGAAUAUAUUGAAACUAUAAAGAGAAAGCUAGAACUUUAAUGGGCCAGGAAUGUAAAAUACGCCAUCUCAGAAAUCAUCAAUGCUAGAUCAUUAAAUUGUUUUUUACUUUAAAAAAAAAUACUAACUGAAAGAGGAAGAUGGCACAAGAAAAUUCUAUAAAAGGAAGGUUUGGAACCCUAAGGAUAUAUAUAGAAUGACAAGAACGAAGAAGAAGAGGAAGAUGAUAAAGAGAGAAGAAGUUACGUGCAAUACAGAUUUUAAAAUUUUUACUCAUCAGGAAAUCAGGACUUGAUCAUUUUUCAAUGUACAUUGUCAAUUCUGUGCAUCUAGGAUAGCCCAUGGCGAAGAACUAUAUAUCAGCUACAUAUAUAUAUAUAUAUUGCAUUUUAAUCAUAUUACAGAUUAAUUCUAUAAUCUUAAAUAUUAUAUAUAGAUAGAUAAACCGAAAUAAUAAUAAUAAUAAAAGCAUACACUAAUUAAUAUUGGUCAUGGUGUGUAAAUCUUGGAAAGAGCUUGCAAAACAUGAACUUGCAACCUCAAAUGCAGUAUAUAAUCAGCCGUCUUUAAAAAAAGACGAUCCGGCUGCAGCCCUUGCCCUCCUGGAAUCAGUCUCUGCAACUUCUUCAUCUUCAUUCGGACUGAGCAGCGAACACUUGAUCUUCUCCGCUGCCUCCUCCACUUAACCUUCGCAAAAUCUCUGCAUCCAUUAAUCCCCAUUGAUACCUAAGCAGAGAAAUAUAGCCAGAGUCGAUAGGAAAGGGAGAGAGUUGGAGUUUGAACAGUUGCGAAGAAAAGGAGAGCUACAAAACGAUGAGAGGGCAGAGGGGUUGUCUGUGAUGGUUAUAGUUAUAGGAAGGGCCAUGUGAGCCGAGCCAUGAAUAUUUAAUAUAUAUUAAUUUU